CCCAGACUCCUACGGGAGGCAGCAGUGGGGAAUAUUGCACAAUGGGGGAAACCCUGAUGCAGCGACGCCGCGUGAGCGAUGAAGUAUUUCGGUAUGUAAAGCUCUAUCAGCAGGGAAGAAAAUGACGGUACCUGACUAAGAAGCCCCGGCUAACUACGUGCCAGCAGCCGCGGUAAUACGUAGGGGGCAAGCGUUAUCCGGAUUUACUGGGUGUAAAGGGCGUGUAGCCGGGCUGACAAGUCAGAUGUGAAAUCCGGGGGCUCAACCCCCGAACUGCAUUUGAAACUGUUGGUCUUGAGUAUCGGAGAGGCAGGCGGAAUUCCUAGUGUAGCGGUGGAAUGCGUAGAUAUCGGGAGGAACACCAGUGGCGAAGGCGGCCUGCUGGACAUUAACUGACGCUGAGGCGCGAAAGCGUGGGGAGCAAACAGGAUUAGAUACCCGCGUACC
rnacentral:rRNA from 1 species